GACGUAGGGCGCGAGCGUUGUCCGGAUUUAUUGGGCGUAAAGAGCUCGUAGGCGGCUCGUUGCGUCGGCUGUGAAAACCCGCAGCUCAACUGUGGGCUUGCAGCUGAUACGGGCGGGCUGGGAUUCGGUAGGGGAGACUGGAAUUCCUGGUGUAGCGGUGAAAUGCGCAGAUAUCAGGAGGAACACCGAUGGCGAAGGCGGGUCUCUGGGCCGAUAUCGACGCUGAGGAGCGAAAGCGUGGGGAGCGAACAGG
rnacentral:rRNA from 1 species